rnacentral:rRNA from 1 species
AUUGAACACUGGCGGCAUGCUUUACACAUGCAAGUCGAACAGUAACAGGCCGCAAGGUGCUGACGAGUGGCGAACGGGUGAGUAAUGCAUCGGAACGUGCCCAGUCGUGGGGGAUAACGCAGCGAAAGCUGCGCUAAUACCGCAUACGAUCUAUGGAUGAAAGCGGGGGACCGUAAGGCCUCGCGCGAUUGGAGCGGCCGAUGUCAGAUUAGGUAGUUGGUGGGGUAAAGGCUCACCAAGCCGACGAUCUGUAGCUGGUCUGAGAGGACGACCAGCCACACUGGGACUGAGACACGGCCCAGACUCCUACGGGAGGCAGCAGUGGGGAAUUUUGGACAAUGGGCGCAAGCCUGAUCCAGCAAUGCCGCGUGCAGGAAGAAGGCCUUCGGGUUGUAAACUGCUUUUGUACGGAACGAAACGGCUCUGGUUAAUACCUGGGGCUAAUGACGGUACCGUAAGAAUAAGCACCGGCUAACUACGUGCCAGCCGCCGCGGUAAUAC